rnacentral:rRNA from 1 species
UGGGGAAUAUUGCACAAUGGGCGAAAGCCUGAUGCAGCGACGCCGCGUGGAGGAUGAAGGUUUUCGGAUUGUAAACUCCUGUUAAGUGGGAAGAAAGAACCGGUAUUAAUACCAUCGGGAGAUGACGGUACCACUAGAGAAAGCACCGGCUAACUUCGUGCCAGCAGCCGCGGUAAUACGAGGGGUGCAAGCGUUAUUCGGAAUAACUGGGCGUAAAGAGCGCGUAGGCGGUUUGUUAAGUCUGUUGUUAAAUUGCCUGGCUCAACCGGGAAUCGGCAAUAGAAACUGGCAAGCUAGAGGACAAGAGAGAGAAGUGGAAUUCUCGGAGUAGCGGUAAAAUGCGUAGAUCUCGAGAGGAACACCGAUGGCGAAGGCAGCUUCUUGGCUUGUAUCUGACGCU